GAUGAACGCUGGCGGCAUGCUUUACACAUGCAAGUCGAGCGGCAGCGCGGGGGGCAACCCUGGCGGCGAGCGGCGAACGGGUGAGUAAUGCAUCGGAACGUACCCUGGAGUGGGGGAUAACGCCGCGAAAGCGGCGCUAAUACCGCAUAUGCUCUGAGGAGGAAAGUGGGGGACCGCAAGGCCUCACGCUCUGGGAGCGGCCGAUGUCCGAUUAGCUAGUUGGUGAGGUAAAGGCUUACCAAGGCGACGAUCGGUAGCUGGUCUGAGAGGAUGAUCAGCCACACUGGGACUGAGACACGGCCCAGACUCCUACGGGAGGCAGCAGUGGGGAAUUUUGGACAAUGGGGGCAACCCUGAUCCAGCCAUGCCGCGUGAGUGAAGAAGGCCUUCGGGUUG
rnacentral:rRNA from 1 species